rnacentral:lncRNA from 1 species
CUUGUUUGGGCGACGUUCGGCGGUCGACGUCACCGGUGUCUUGUCUUCGGCGGUCGACGUCACUUGUCUUGUCUCCCACACUCCUGGUUUCAAUACCAUCAAUUACAUGUGGUGUAUUUAACCCUCUGACCCCACAUGUCCUUGUCCGGUAUUGUUUAUCGUAAGUGCUUGUGCACGUUAUGUCUGGGGUUUUUGUCCCAUUGUUUAUAUGGUUUUUGUUCACGGUGAUUUUUAUCAUUAAACUGCGCCGUUGUAACACAGUCUUUGCUCUCCUGCGCCUGACUUCUCUACCGCCAGUCGUCCUGUCUGAAAUGUUAGUGAUUCAAUCCAAGUCAUUUCUGUUGGAAAAGGUCACAGGUGUCUUUCCUGUGUUCCAUAAGUGCAGGCCCCCCACCUAUCUUGCCAGUUUGGCAGGCAGGAACAAGGCCACGUCCAUAGUUAGUUGAACAAUGGCACUCUAGAUUCCGGAAAACGACACAUCCCAAUUAGACCUACUGUAUGACUCAUCUGAUAUUAACCCCACUGGACUGAGGGAGGCUUCCCAUUCAUAUUCUGGGGUUGCCACGUUUUCUUUACAUUAGCGCUUUUGCACAGGAGUGUCAUGCACCCCCAAAAUCGAAGGGGGCAAAACCGAAGUACGUGAGGAUGGCUGGGGGGGGGGGGGACUAGGCCCCGACCAUAAGUUGGAACAUUUUUCAAACACCUGAAACAAUCAAGCGCCAUGGUCAUUAUGGUCAUUAUGCUUAAUUCUAUGUUUAAACAAAGAUAUGUCUAUUUUUCUGCAUGUCUUGAGCUGUCUAUAUCCUCCUGACUACCAACCUUGCCAGCAGGAAUGACAGCUAAAAUGGUUAGACAAGCUAGCUACUCUAACUUGAUUGACAGCCUGAAAUGGCUUCUUGGUAGUUAUGAGGUUGGGAGAUUGGUAACCUAUCCAGGCUAGCUAAAGCCAACUUCAUAAAAUUGCUAGGUGGCUAGUAGUAUUACAGACAAACAACAAAAAUAAAAAAUACAUUAAUAAAAUGUUGUAUUUGUAUUUUUUACAGGACAAAUAUGAGGGGGCACAUGCCACUGUGCCCCCUACGGCCAUGAUGCCUCUGCUUGCGCAGAUCAUCAUGUCAGAGCAUGAUGACAUGGCCUCAGGUCUAUGAUAUAUAAGUGUUGUUUCGAUGCUUUUUUAAAAACUCACUAUUACAGGCUCAUUGGAAGGCAAAAUAACUGUAGAAUAGGAUAUCAUUUUCGUUACAACUUCAGAGGAACAUCUUCUGUCACAGUUAAACUCAGGUAUUUGACAACAUCUUGAAUUGUUUGUUUCUUUUAGGGAUGUAGUUGUGGUGUUGUGUGCAGAUAAUUGAAUUAUUGAUAGAAAUGUUUCCUAGUUACCAUAAAUUGUAGUACUUAACUGUUGAUUCAUACAGUAUUAACUAUUAUUCAAUGAG